UAGCGUAGGGUCCGAGCGUUUGUCCGGGAAUUAUUGGGCGUAAAGGGGCUCGUAGGCGGUCUGUUGACGUCGGGGAGUGAAAAUUCACAGCUUAACUGUGAACUUGCUUCCGAGUACGGGCAGACUUGAGGUAUUCAGGGGAGAACGGAAUUCCCGGUGUAGCGGUAGAAAUGCGCAGAUAAGUCGGGAGGAACACCUAUGGCGGAAGACAGCUCGCUGGGACGUUACUGACGCUGAGACGCGAAAGCGUGGGGAGCAAACAGG
rnacentral:rRNA from 1 species